AUCCUUUGCAGACGACUUGAAUAGAACGGAGUGCUGUAAGCAGUAGAGUAGCCUUGUUGCUACGAUCUGCUGAGGCUCAGCUUUUGUUCUACAGAUUUGUCCUUUUGGACUCUCUAUGAUUGGCAUGGACUGGGGGGCGACCUCAGCAUCUUAAUCAUAGACAGUUUAACAAGUACAAGUAGUGAGAGGAGUAGAGUGAAUCAAGAACGAAGUAUAAGGGAUCAAAAAUGAGAGCCAGACUUGGUGUUGCCAAGUUCUCGACUGAUGGCCUUGGUUGAGAUUCUCAAAGCUACAAGUUGGAAGGAUGGACUGGGGGAGACAAGAGGUCUCUGGCAGGGCGGUUGAGGACUAGACCAGGCCCCUUUGGACAGGAGCAAGGCCUCAGAGGUAGGCGGACGGUGCUUUCAGAGGCUGAGGUCUUGAUGUGAAGUCAGAGUUGGGAGCUGGCAGGCUUGGGUCUGUACCAGUGAGCAUACUAGGAGCUGCAAAGACCAAGUAUGAGUGCUGGUGAGCCCAAGUCUGCCUGCUCUCGUGUGUGUCCUUCCAAGAGCGACAGGCUUAUAGGGGCUGUUCUGACAUACUGUCAUCUACGGCCAUAGGAUCCAGAAAAUACCGCAUCCCGUCCGAUCUGCGAAGUCAAGCU
rnacentral:misc_RNA from 1 species